rnacentral:rRNA from 1 species
UCACGCAUCGCGUCUCCCCCAAAUCCACCCCGAGUGGAGGGGAAGGAGGAUGGUCUCCCGCGACUCACCGGUCGCGGAUGGCCUAAAACUGGAGCCCUCGGCAUUGGGAUGUCGCGGCGAUAGGUGGUGAACAAGGCCUCGGCCAAGCAAGCAACCCGCCGCGCGUCGCCAUGCCAAAGUGAGCUCGAAGGACCCUUUGAAGUUGCCUAAGGGCAACCUAACCGUUGCGAC